rnacentral:rRNA from 1 species
CCGGACUCCUACGGGAGGCAGCAGUGAGGAAUAUUGGUCAAUGGCCGCAGGGCUGAACCAGCCAAGUCGCGUGAGGGAUGACGGUCCUAUGGAUUGUAAACCUCUUUUGUCAGGGAGCAAAGGGCGCCACGUGUGGCGUUUUGCGAGUACCUGAAGAAAAAGCAUCGGCUAACUCCGUGCCAGCAGCCGCGGUAAUACGGAGGAUGCGAGCGUUAUCCGGAUUUAUUGGGUUUAAAGGGUGCGCAGGCGGCCUGUUAAGUCAGCGGUAAAGGCCGGGGGCUCAACCCCGGCGAGCCGUUGAAACUGGCGGGCUGGAGUUGGAGAGAAGUACGCGGAAUGCGCGGUGUAGCGGUGAAAUGCUUAGAUAUCGCGCAGAACCCCGAUUGCGAAGGCAGCGUACCGGCUCCACACUGACGCUGAGGCACGAAAGCGUGGGUAUCGAACAGGAUUAGAUACCCCAGUA